rnacentral:lncRNA from 1 species
CAGGGAUAUACGCAUCAUACUUAGCACUUUAAUACCACGAUCCAGGUUGGGGAAGGAAAUGUGAUGUACCGACGGACGACAGCAGUAAAACGCCUCACAGAAAGGCCGUAAGGUCCAAAGUCAUCGUGUUCAGUAACGCUCCGAAAAAUGUCCCCGAAAAAUAACAAACACAGGCGCGUCGCAACUUGCUCACACGCGCAGAACCGCUCAUUGCGAAACCGGUUUCCGUUGCAAAACUCAUGAAACCUUUACAUUUUUAGGUCAUCGAUUAAGGCUUUUUUAUACGUGCUAAUUCACAGCAGCUAGAGAAAUUGAAACCAUCCUGAUUCGUUUUCGGGCGGGGCC